UGGGGAAUCUUGCGCAAUGGGCGAAAGCCUGACGCAGCCAUGCCGCGUGGAUGAUGAAGGUCUUAGGAUUGCAAAAUCCUUUCACCGGUGAAGAUAAUGACUGUAGCCGGAGAAGAAGCCCCGGCUAACUUCGUGCCAGCAGCCGCGGUAAUACGAAGGGGGCUAGCGUUGCUCGGAAUUACUGGGCGUAAAGGGAGCGUAGGCGGACAUUUAAGUCAGGGGUGAAAUCCCGAGGCUCAACCUCGGAACUGCCUUUGAUACUGGGUGUCUUGAGUGUGAGAGAGGUAUGUGGAACUCCGAGUGUAGAGGUGAAAUUCGUAGAUAUUCGGAAGAACACCAGUGGCGAAGGCGACAUACUGGCUCAUUACUGACGCUGAGGCUCG
rnacentral:rRNA from 1 species